GAUGAACACUGGCGGCGUGCCUAAUACAUGCAAGUCGAGCGAACAGACGAGGAGCUUGCUCCUCUAACGUUAGCGGCGGACGGGUGAGUAACACGUGGAUAACCUACCUAUAAGACUGGGAUAACUUCGGGAAACCGGAGCUAAUACCGGAUAAUAUAUUGAACCGCAUGGUUCAAUAGUGAAAGACGGUUUUGCUGUCACUUAUAGAUGGAUCCGCGCCGCAUUAGCUAGUUGGUAAGGUAACAGCUUACCAAGGCAACGAUGCGUAGCCGACCUGAGAGGGUGAUCGGCCACACUGGAACUGAGACACGGUCCAGACUCCUACGGGAGGCAGCAGUAGGGAAUCUUCCGCAAUGGGCGAAAGCCUGACGGAGCAACGCCGCGUGAGUGAUGAAGGUCUUCGGAUCGUAAAACUCUGUUAUUAGGGAAGAACAAAUGUGUAAGUAACUAUGCACGUCUUGACGGUACCUAAUCAGAAAGCCACGGCUAACUACGUG
rnacentral:rRNA from 1 species